AGUCGAACGAUGAAGCCCAGCUUGCUGGGUGGAUUAGUGGCGAACGGGUGAGUAACACGUGAGUAACCUGCCCUUGACUCUGGGAUAAGCGUUGGAAACGACGUCUAAUACCGGAUACGAGCUUCCACCGCAUGGUGAGUUGCUGGAAAGAAUUUUGGUCAAGGAUGGACUCGCGGCCUAUCAGCUUGUUGGUGAGGUAACGGCUCACCAAGGCGACGACGGGUAGCCGGCCUGAGAGGGUGACCGGCCACACUGGGACUGAGACACGGCCCAGACUCCUACGGGAGGCAGCAGUGGGGAAUAUUGCACAAUGGGCGAAAGCCUGAUGCAGCAACGCCGCGUGAGGGACGACGGCCUUCGGGUUGUAAACCUCUUUUAGCAGGGAAGAAGCGAAAGUGACGGUACCUGCAGAAAAAGCACCGGCUAACUACGUGCCAGCAGCCGCGGUAAUACGUAGGGUGCAAGCGUUGUCCGGAAUUAUUGGGCGUAAAGAGCUCGUAGGCGGUUUGUCGCGUCUGCUGUGAAAUCCCGAGGCUCAACCUCGGGUCUGCAGUGGGUACGGGCAGACUAGAGUGCGGUAGGGGAGAUUGGAAUUCCUGGUGUAGCGGUGGAAUGCGCAGAUAUCA
rnacentral:rRNA from 1 species